rnacentral:rRNA from 1 species
UAAAACGUAGGUGGCGAGCGUUAUCCGGAAUUACUGGGCGUAAAGCGUGUGCAGGCGGGCUAGCAAGUGGUGUAUGAAAGCUCCCGGCUCAACCGGGAAGGGUUAUGCCAGACUGCUAGUCUUGAGUGCGAGAGAGGAGCGUGGAAUUCCGGGUGUAGUGGUGAAAUGCGUAGAGAUCCGGAGGAACCCCAGAGGCGAAGGCGGCGCUCUGGCUCGCAACUGACGCUCAGACACGACAGCAUGGGGAGCGAACGGGAUUAGAAACCCCGGUAGUCCAUGCCGUAAACGAUGCUAACUAGGCGCUGCGGGACUCAACCCCCGCGGUGCCGCAGCAAACGCGAUAAGUUAGCCGCCUGGGGAGUACGGCCGCAAGGCUA